UCUCUCUCUCUCUCUCUCUCUCUCUCUCCUCUCUCUUCGAUUUUGGCUCUGACGUUCGUCGGAUCGACGAUCUGAGGCCACCACGAUGCUCUUGGGAAAGUUCUCUUGAAAUUUGCCAGAGCGGAUUAUUGGUGGGACUGAGUUGAAUUUCAUCCCUGGUCUAAGGAAACCCAGAAGGACCGGCGGAUUGAGGCCGCGUUGAGUCUAUUGUGCUACCCUGUAAGGAGGAUUAACAGGUUGUUACACUCCAAGUCAAACCUUCUGGCAAGAGCAAUCAGCUCCAACUCAAUAAAGAGGGGAGAGAUCCACGUUGGAGCCUUAAACGCUCAGAGUGAUACAUGCUGGCACUUUAUAACUCGGGAGCGAUCCACGCCUUUGCGUCAUAAUGACGAAUCACCUCAAGGGUAAACCCUCGCCACUAUAAAGAGGGGGACGCAAGAAGAUGAAGGUCAUCGGAAGUCGGAGAGCAGUCUUGCAGGUCAUCGCCAUUUUAGUUCGCAACAUUUAUAAAUAAAUAAAUUAUAAUUAAAUAUAUAAUUGAUGCAUUGUUAUCAUGAAGUAAAUAACAAAGUGAAUUUUUUUUUGAACUUAUAAUAAGGUAUAUUAGAGUGAAA